rnacentral:rRNA from 1 species
CUUUGGGAUAACCCUCGGAAACGGGGGCUAAUACCGUAUAUUACUUGUGGUCGCAUGACUGUGGGUGGAAAGUUUUUCGGCUUGGGAUGGGCUCGCGGCCUAUCAGCUUGUUGGUGGGGUGAUGGCCUACCAAGGCGACGACGGGUAGCCGGCCUGAGAGGGCGACCGGCCACACUGGGACUGAGACACGGCCCAGACUCCUACGGGAGGCAGCAGUGGGGAAUAUUGCACAAUGGGCGGAAGCCUGAUGCAGCGACGCCGCGUGAGGGAUGACGGCCUUCGGGUUGUAAACCUCUUUCAGCAGGGACGAAGCGGGAGUGACGGUACCUGCAGAAGAAGCACCGGCCAACUACGUGCCGGCAGCCGCGGUAAGACGUAGGGUGCGAGCGUUGUCCGGAUUUAUUGGGCAUAAAGAGCUCGUAGGCGGCUUGUCGCGUCGACCGUGAAAACUUGGGGCUCAACCCCAAGCCUGCGGUCGAUACGGGCAGGCUAGAGUUCGGUAGGGGAGACUGGAAUUCCUAGUGUAGCGGUGAAAUGCGCAGAUAUCAGGAGGAACACCGGUGGCGAAGGCGGGUCUCUGGGCCGAUACUGACGCUGAGGGGCGAAAGCGUGGGGAGCGAACAGGAUUAGAUACCCUGGUAGUCCACGCUGUAAACGUUGGGCGC